ACCGUUGCAUAAGUUUGUCGAUUGCAUGUUAAAUAGCACAUGUCUCUUUGUAGUCUAAAAAAAUUCUAAUUUAUUCAUAUGUUUGAUUGUUAUUAGCAUUAUUAGCAAAAGAAUGACAAGUUUUUCUAAUGUCUUGUUAACGUAAUGCAAUUUCAGAAACGUUCAUCUUUUUUGUUUCUUUGAAAAUUUCCUCGUGGUAAGAGUUUGUUUUAAAGAAAGUAAUUUGACAGGCAAUAAAUGUAUUUUAACGCGUAUAGCCAUCAUUUAUUAUGGAUGUAAAUAAACAUUGGAAUGUUUAUUCUCGUAUCGUAGUUACUUACGUAUCGUUUCCGUUGGAAAAUUCGGAAUAUUAUACGAGAUAUCGUCAGUCUUUGAAAACUAUACACGGUACAUGGAACAAGUAUUAUGCUCGUCGUAUGGAAACAGUUACAGAUCUUACAGAAGGCUUAGUUAUGUGAAUGUAUAAGUUUAAUGGUAUGUUUACGUUUUUAACAUACUUUUUAGAAAAGUUGGAAAUUGCAAAUUGUUAAAAUGUGUCGGAAGUAAAAUUAUCGUUGAAAUUCUGAUCUGUUGCUAAUCGAAAUUAUACUAUUUUUGUAUAAUUCGCGAAGGCAUGCGUUCUCCGAGCAUCGUACAGGCUACGUUAAAUACCGUAUGCGGAUAUACGUUACGCAUGUUGACGUAUAUGUAUACACGUAUUCAAACUUAUUCGGUUAGGUACAGACUGGUAAUUCUUCUAAACAAUAGAGUACAAUAUAACAGAGAUAAAUAUAAAUAUGUGUUAUACACAUAUACAUAUACAUAUACAUAUAUGUACAUGUUUUAACGGGGAACGUGACAUAUCGGUCGAAGUAUAAACAAUUGAACGUAGUUGAUUAACAUUGAAAUAGCGGUCGUGUGAUCGAACGAUUGAGUUGGCAAGAAAAAAGAAUCGUGGAUCGAGAUUAGAAGAGAUUGAAACGAUUUUAAAGUGGUUCACAGAUAGUUACUUACGAUACCAUAUACAUAUAUGUAUAGGAAAGAUUUGUCCUCGAGUUGAAAUUUUUGCUUAAGUGUCGUGUUUGUAAAAUAAAAAGCGAAGCGAUACGAAUAAUUUGCGUGAAAAUGGAAUUUCGUUCUAUGGACAUUAAUUGUAAUUGUAAGUGCGAUGUAGUGGCAAUGUAACACGAUGUUCUCGUCGUGUAAAAAUGCGCACACGCAAAAAUGUAUGAUAUACCGAUGAAAUAUGCGUACAGGAUGUUUCGUGAUAUCCAUCGGAUCCGAAGAAACACAAAUGUCCUUCGAAAUAGAACGAUCCUUUCAUAUUUUUAUACAACCAUCAAUUUUCCGAAUACGUUACCCAUCCAGUAGCUGAUUGCUGCGAGUACGGGUUCGAACGUAUCCGAAUAUUUCUAGCAAAUCGUGGCUAUAAGAUUUAGCGACGUAAUCUCUGUUGCGAUUCCAAGCGAUCCUACCAAAUUACACGAUAGAAGCAUACAAAAGUAUUCGCUCACGUAUUUCUCGGAUUUGUUGGACAUUGUGCACCUUGGACGAAACUUGGUAAUUGCGUGCCUGUUAUUCGUACACGAGCAAGUUGAUACAUGUAUAUUUUUGCAUAUAUACAAAUUGCGCGUGUACGAUAUAUAUAUAUAGAGAGAGAGAGAGAGAACUGUAUAAAGAAAAGAAUGAUGAAAGGAAAGUGGAAAUGUGAAAAGAGCGACUAGACGUAGAUACACGUGCAAUUCAAGAUUUAUGAAAUCAUUUUAAGACAAAUUAAAAUAAUAUGCGCCAAGUUAUCAAGUAUAGCACUAAGGUGUAUUUGCGUUUCCAUUAAAGUAAAUAUUGUGUAUAUAUAUGCGCAUACAUAGAUACAGAUAGGUACACGUAUAAGUAAUAAGAAUUAAUGGUAACGUGUAAAUUGCGAGAUAUCGAAAUAGUGAGAAAAGUGUUGCGUAGCUGUAUUGUAAUAAGGUAAUGGAAAUGCUUUAGACUUGAUUUAUCAUGGAAACUACGAGGAUAAACGUUUCACUCUUAAUAAAUUACCGUAUUUUACAAGGGGCAUUUUAUUACGUAUGCAUGUGUAUGUGUUAUGUGCUUUUUAAAAGCAAGAAGGAAAAGGUGAAGAAUAUAGCAGGAUAAGUACUGCGCGGAUAACGAACGACGGACGAUGGGCUCGAGGAAAAGAGCUGAAUAAAGAAUAAUUAACCGAGGCCGAUGAUAAUGUGGACGCGUGCGCGACGAAACGGCGGCUGGUCUGCUUAGGUUCACCAGCGAUUUUCCAUUCUCAGUUGUCGAUCGAAAAGGCUGGACUGCUUGUCGACUGGCGUCGCCUUGGAUACCUUUCGGUGUAGCUAACGUUGUAUGUCGUUGCGCGAGUGAGUCGUUGAUAUUCACAGAGUGUAAUAUCGUAACUCGUACUCUAGGACACCUCGAGUGGCCCAUAUGCUUUUCGUUCAGAUUCAGUUUCGUCGAAAGAACCACUAAAGAUAGGCGGAAGAAACGAUUGGAAAAAUCACUGUUCCACGUUUUUUUUAUAAUCAAUUCAACUAAAACUUGCCAAGAUUGUAUACUUUCGAUAACUUGAAUCUUUUUUCAAAUUUAUCACCAACGCGGAAUAUAGCAAGUUGAAAGAACAUGGUUGUAUCGUUGCGUCGUAAACUGUUCGUUAUUCAAGAUUCCUAGAAAAUGUCGUGCAAAUAAUUUAACGAUUUAUAAACUCUCUUUUUCUUUUCUCCCGUUUCUCGUCUCUUAUCUUUCGUCUUUCCGUUCUUCCUUGCGUGACCUUUUACGUAACAUUAACAAAAAGAAACCCGAAGGAAGCUAACAUGUGUAAUCUUCAACAGGUGGCUCAAAGUCAAGCCUUUUGAAGCUUUCGAUAUUAAUUUAAUAAUUGUUACGCGAAAUCGUCGACAGAAUUUAUUCGUUUAAACAGAAAUGAAUUGUCUAAUUUUGAAUUUUUGUAUCGGUUUACGGUUACGAUUAAACGAUUAGACGUGAUCACGUGAUUCUGUUCUAUUUUCAGGAACCGUUUUUAACUCGGUAACCUCGAUAAACGUAAGAUUUUACUAUUUUUAAGAUAGCUCGUCCGAUUCGAGCGACUCAAAGGUGGAGGUUAACGAGCGGAAAACGAUGCGUUCGAGUCAAAGUUGAGCUUCGAGUAGACGUCCAAGUACAAAGAGAAGGAUGAGGUUCGAUAGGAAAAGAACGAUAGAUGGAACCUAGAUAGGAGAGGCAUUUAUACAUAUAUUUACUUGACAUAGUAUACCUUGAUUUCAGAUGACAAGUAGGAAUACUAUAUGUGUAAAAGAGUGCGAAGCUGUGAAGAAUGUAAAGCUUUCUUGUUAAUUUCUCGAGAGAAAGAGGUUUCGAAAGAGGUUUCGAAAGAGGUUUCGAAAAAUUAGUUAUGCAAAGAAAGAGCAGAGAUGAUUAAGGGAAAUGGAAAAGGAGCCAAAAUGGAAAAUGGAAUGAUACGGAUACGAGUUUGAAGGGCGCGAGAAGAAAAAGAGAAAAUAAGAUCGUGAAAGAAGAAUGAUUAAUGCGACAAUUUUCGUGGAUAUUUGGUCGGAGAAGAACGACUCGAGUCGUUCGAGCGUGGAAAAUGACGCGACUUCGGACGUUAUAGUGCAAGUAAUUUUUUAUAUUUUCUACGGAAAUAUCUUUGUACUGGGUGUGUUCGGGAACGCGUUGGUGUGCUUCGUCGUAGCACGAAAUCGUCAAAUGCAGACGGUAACGAAUUUAUUUAUCACAAAUUUGGCGCUGAGCGACGUGUUGCUUUGCGUGCUGGCGGUUCCGUUUACGCCUCUAUACACGUUUUUGGGCGGUUGGAUAUUCGGUAAAACCCUCUGUCACUUGGUGCCGUACGCUCAAGGUGUUAGCGUUUAUAUCAGUACAUUGACUUUGUCGAGCAUCGCGAUCGAUAGAUUCAUGGUGAUCAUAUACCCGUUUCAUCCUCGUAUGAAGAUCGAUGUUUGCCUGGCCGUGAUCGUUGGUAUCUGGAUAGUGGCUUUAUUGGUUACCCUGCCAUACGGGCUUUACAUGCACUUGGAAGAACCAUACGCUUUUUGCGAGGAGCAUUGGCCGUCCGAACGGUUUCGCAAAAUCUUCAGCUCCGUCACCUCGAUACUUCAAUUCGUCUUACCCUUCUUCGUGAUCGCGUUCUGCUACACUCGCAUAUCGAUCAAGUUGAACGAUCGAAUCAGAUCGAAACCUGGCACCAAGAUACCCAACAAGAGUAAAGAAGCCGAUAGAGAGAGAAAACGACGAACAAACCGGAUGUUGAUAGCCAUGGUCACUAUAUUUGCCAUUUCUUGGCUACCUCUCAACAUCAUCAACGUUGUCGAUGACUUUUAUUCGGCCGCCAACGAUUGGUCCUAUUACAGACUUUGCUUUUUCAUGACGCAUUGCCUCGCCAUGAGCAGCACUUGUUACAACCCGUUCCUUUACGCUUGGCUCAACGAGAACUUUCGCAAAGAAUUUAAGCAAGUACGAAUCAUUCGAUCGAAACAUUUCAAUCGCUCGUAUUUUCGACUCGACGCCGACGAUGCUUUCCCACCUAUAAUCAAUAAAUAGUUAAUAAAUAGUUGACAGUUGACAGCUGACAGCGAUUUCACUUCACUUCACGUCACUUCACUUCACUUCACUUCACUUCAUUUCACUCGAGUUCAGUUCAGUUCGAUAUCGUAACGAAAUUUUCAGGAAAAUUUCUAAAACAAACUAGCUACUCUUCAUUUGUUUUGUAUUCUCCAUUUCUAACCGCGAAGAGUGAGACGAUCUCGUUUUUGUUGUAUUUUCAAUUACUCAACCACGCAACAACUUAUAAUUGAUUUUGUAAACUAUACCUACCCACCAGCGUAUAUGUAAUCUCUUCGACUCGACAAGUCGACGAUCUUUCAAUUACUCGAAAUGAUCGAAAGGUACUACCGUGUUUCUCGAGCACCGCUAAUGCUCCAGCUCCAACAACCACCGGAAGAUUCCGAAACGAUAAUGCGUGUAAUGCUGGUAACAACACUCUUCAGGAAUCUUUGCUACCGAGUCAUGCUCGGAACAAAAC